rnacentral:rRNA from 1 species
AUGAUGGAUGGCUCUGAUCUAGACAUCCUUAACUUGAAGUUUCUUCUCUUGUGCUUCGAAGAAAUGUCGAGGCUAAAGAUCAAGUUUGACAAGAGCAAGGUGAUUGUCAUGGACUACUCUGAGACCGAGCGGCAGCAGAUUGCGGACAACCGGAACUGCAGGUUGGCAACCUUUGACAUAGAAUAUUUGUGGAUGCCACUCUUUGAUUCGAAGGUUCUUCUUCGUGCAUUCGACCCUCUCAUGGGGAAGGUCGCCGGACGGGCUGAACCAUGGUGUGGAUGGUUUACUUCCAAGGGAAGUAAGAUUGUCUUGAUUGAUUCUAAUCUCUCCAGUCUCCUAGUGUAUAUGAUGGGGAUGAAUAUUCUUCCGGAGGGAGUGUAUGGUUCAUUCGAUAAAGACCUCUCCCGCUUCUUAUGGCAAGCGAUGAACGGACGCCAGAAGUACCACAUGGUGAAGUGGGCUGACAUAUGCAUGCCCAAGGAUAUGGGUGGGUUGGGCAUCUUGGCCUACCGCCGGAUGAACGUCACAGUCAUGCUUAGGUGGGUUUGGGGGAUCAUCCGCGGGGAAGAGGGACUUUGGUUGCAACUAAUUCGGGCAAAGUACCUUCGGGGCGUGCCACUGCUUGCUUACGGCCGCAUGGAGGGCUCGCAGUUUUGGCGGUCGAUCCAAAGGAUCAAACAUGAGAUUUGUCUGGGGUUGUCCUUCGCAGCCAUUUCCCUGGCUUAG